rnacentral:rRNA from 1 species
GGUCUCGGAGGACAUUACGAGUUCUGAAGGGGUUGUAGCUGGCUUUUCCAGCAUGUGCUCGCCCUGUUCAAUCCACUCUACACCUGUGCACCAACUGUAGGCUUUUGGUGGGCUUGCUUUCCUUGUCCUUUACCGGGCGUUGAGGGCUUGUUAACCUUGGCUUGCGUUUUCAUACAAACCCUGUAAAAAGUAAAAAGAAUGUGUAUUGCGAUAUAACGCAUUUAUAAUACAACUUUCAGCAACGGAUCUCUUGGCUCUCGCAUCGAUGAAGAACGCAGCGAAAUGCGAUAAGUAAUGUGAAUUGCAGAAUUCAGUGAAUCAUCGAAUCUUUGAACGCACCUUGCGCUCCUUGGUAUUCCGAGGAGCACGCCUGUUUGAGUGUCGUGAAAUUCUCAACCUACAAGGCUUUUGUUUUGUAGGCUUGGACUUGGAGGCGUUGCCGAUGUUUUUAUUUACGUUGGCUCCUCUCAAAUGCAUUAGCUAGCGUCCUUUGCGGAUCAGCUUUUCGGUGUGAUAAUUGUCUACGCCGUAGUUGUGAAGCGUUUUUGACCAGCUUCUAAUGGUCUCGUGAAAGAGACAAAAGAAAUUUCAUUUCAAUGACAAUCUGACCUCAGAUCAGGCGGGACUACCCGCUGAACUUAAGCAUAUCAAAAAACGGGAAGAAAAC